rnacentral:tRNA from 1 species
GUCCAGGGGUGGGAAUCGAACCCACAGUGUUCCGCUUACCGGGCAGGUGCCAUGUCCACUAGGCUACCCUGGA